CCCAGACCGAUAGCGAACAAGUAGAGUGAUCGAAAGAUGAAAAGCACUUUGAAAAGAGAGUUAAACAGCACGUGAAAUUGUUGAAAGGGAAGCGUUUGCGACCAGACUCGCCCGCGGGGUUCAGCCGGCAUUCGUGCCGGUGUACUUCCCCGUGGGCGGGCCAGCGUCGGUUUGGGCGGCCGGUCAAAGGCCCUCGGAAUGUAUCACCUCUCGGGGUGUCUUAUAGCCGAG
rnacentral:rRNA from 1 species